rnacentral:rRNA from 1 species
GACGAGGGAUCCUAGCGUUGCUCGGAAUUAUUGGGCGUAAAGCGGGUGUAGGUGGCUUGGUAAGUCAGAUGUGAAAGCCCUGGGCUUAACCCAGGAAGUGCAUUGAUACUGCUAAGCUUGAGUGCGAGAGAGGUUAAUAGAAUACCUGGUGUAGUGGUGAAAUACGUAGAUAUCAGGUGGAACACCGGAGGCGAAGGCGGUUAACUGGCGUCGACACUGACACUGAGACCCGAAAGUGCGGGGAUCAAACAGG